rnacentral:rRNA from 1 species
GCUCGAUGGAGGGGGGUAACUACUGGAAACGGUAGCUAAUACCGCAUAACGUCGCAAGACCAAAGAGGGGGACCUUCGGGCCUCUUGCCAUCGGAUGUGCCCAGAUGGGAUUAGCUAGUAGGUGGGGUAACGGCUCACCUAGGCGACGAUCCCUAGCUGGUCUGAGAGGAUGACCAGCCACACUGGAACUGAGACACGGUCCAG